GUACUCACUUCAGUAGCACAUAUAACUAAAAUUGAAAUGAUAGAGAGAAGAUUAGCAUGGCCCCCGUGUAAAAAUGACACAAAAAUUCAUGACGAGUUCCACAUUUUU
rnacentral:snRNA from 1 species